GUCGACGGUAGCACAGAGAGCUUGCUCUCGGGUGACGAGUGGCGGACGGGUGAGUAAUGUCUGGGAAACUGCCUGAUGGAGGGGGAUAACUACUGGAAACGGUAGCUAAUACCGCAUAACGUCGCAAGACCAAAGAGGGGGACCUUCGGGCCUCUUGCCAUCAGAUGUGCCCAGAUGGGAUUAGCUAGUAGGUGGGGUAACGGCUCACCUAGGCGACGAUCCCUAGCUGGUCUGAGAGGAUGACCAGCCACACUGGAACUGAGACACGGUCCAGACUCCUACGGGAGGCAGCAGUGGGGAAUAUUGCACAAUGGGCGCAAGCCUGAUGCAGCCAUGCCGCGUGUAUGAAGAAGGCCUUCGGGUUGUAAAGUACUUUCAGCGGGGAGGAAGGUGUUGUGGUUAAUAACCGCAGCAAUUGACGUUACCCGCAGAAGAAGCACCGGCUAACUCCGUGCCAGCAGCCGCGGUAAUACGGAGGGUGCAAGCGUUAAUCGGAAUUACUGGGCGUAAAGCGCACGCAGGCGGUCUGUCAAGUCGGAUGUGAAAUCCCCGGGCUCAACCUGGGAACUGCAUUCGAAACUGGCAGGCUAGAGUCUUGUAGAGGGGGGUAGAAUUCCAGGUGUAGCGGUGAAAUGCGUAGAGAUCUGGAGGAAACCGGGGGCGAAGGCGGCCCCCGGACAAAGACGACG
rnacentral:rRNA from 1 species